rnacentral:rRNA from 1 species
GGGUCAGUAGGUUGGUCGUGCCACCGGUACGUACUGGUCUCACUGAUUCCUCCUUCCUGAAGAACCGUAAUGCCGUUAAUUUGGUGUUGCGGGGAAACAGGACUGUUACUUUGAGAAAAUUAGAGUGUUUAAAGCAAGCUAACGCUUGAAUACAUUAGCAUGGAAUAAUGAAAUAGGACGAUCGAUCCUAUUUUGUUGGUUUCUAGGAUUGACGUA